UAACAUAUUUUGACUAAGACUAAGGAAAUAUUCAAUCAUAAUAAUAAUCUAAAUCAAUAACAAAUAACAAACAAUAUCUUGACAAGAUAUUUUCUAUAUAAAAAAUAAUAACAUUUCACACCAAUGGUAAAGAUAUUAUAAGGUAAGGAAUUAAUUUUUAUAUUAUUUUGAGUACAAUCCAAGAAAUUAAGCUCAAGGAUAUUUUGAUAAAAUUUUCCUUUUAUGCAAAUUUGUGUUAUUAUAUAUACAACAACAUAAAUCAAAAUAAAACACUAAACAUAAAUUAAGAAAAGUUCAUACAAAAUGGGUUUCUCCAAAAACAUAUUGAUCGCAUUUGUUUUCACCAUUUUCUUCGUAGUAUCUAAUGUUCAUUGCUACCCAGACUUUGAAGUAAAACAAGACUACAAAAAAUGCUACCUUCCGUGUAAACAAAUAUCCGAAGGAUGUGAAAGUUUUUGUGCAGCUAAGAACAUUCAGUUGGUUGGCGAAUGUAUUUCUGAUUUAUGUUGUUGUAGGUCAAAAAGGCCAAAUUAACAUUAUUAAAGAUUAUACAUAUUGUACUAGUGUCAAGAGUGCUAAUAAAGAUCCAAAACAAUUAGCAAA